UACGGAAGGGGCAAGCGUUGUCCGGAUUUACUGGGCGUAAAGAGCGCGCAGGCGGUCGGAUAAGUCGAAUGUGAAAGCCCCCGGCUCAACUGGGGAGGGUCAUUCGAUACUGUUCGACUCGAAGGCAGGAGAGGGAAGUGGAAUUCCCGGUGUAGUGGUGAAAUGCGUAGAUAUCGGGAGGAACACCAGUGGCGAAGGCGACUUCCUGGCCUGUUCUUGACGCUGAGGCGCGAAAGCUAGGGGAGCAAACGGGG
rnacentral:rRNA from 1 species